AACGAACGCUGGCGGCAUGCCUAACACAUGCAAGUCGAACGAGACCUUCGGGUCUAGUGGCUCACGGGUGCGUAACGCGUGGGAACCUGCCCUUAGGUUCGGAAUAACUCCCCGAAAGGGGUGCUAAUACCGGAUAAUGUCUUCGGACCAAAGCUUUAUCGCCUUUGGAUGGGCCCGCGUUGGAUUAGCUAGUUGGUAGGGUAAAAGCCUACCAAGGCGACGAUCCAUAGCUGGUCUGAGAGGAUGAUCAGCCACACUGGGACUGAGACACGGCCCAGACUCCUGCGGGAGGCAGCAGUGGGGAAUAUUGGACGAUGGGCGAAAGCCUGAUCCAGCAAUGCCGCGUGAGUGAUGAAGGCCUUAGGGUUGUAAAGCUCUUUUACCCGGGAUGAUAAUGACAGUACCGGGAGAAUAAGCCCCGGCUAACUCCGUG
rnacentral:rRNA from 1 species